AUUGAACGCUGGCGGGAGGCCUAACACAUGCAAGUCGAGCGAGCGGCGGACGGGUGAGUAGUGCCUGGGAAUUGCCCAGUCGAGGUGGAUAACAGUUGGAAACGACUCCUAAUAGCGCAUCCGAUUGGAUUGCCCAGGUGGGAUUAGCUAGUUGGUGGGGUAAUGGCUCACCAAGGCGACGAUCCCUAGCUGGUUUGAGAGGAUGAUCAGCCACACUGGAACUGAGACACGGCCCAGACUCCUACGGGAGGCAGCAGUGGGGAAUACUGGACAAUGGGGGAAACCCUGAUGCAGCCAUGCCGCGUGUGUGAAGAAGGCCUUCGGGUUGUAAAGCACUUUCGGCGAGGAGGCGUUACUCGCAGAAGAAGCACCGGCUAACUCCGUGCCAGCAGCCGCGGUAAUAC
rnacentral:rRNA from 1 species